GAGAACCCCGGGACUGAUAUCAGUAACACUUUGACAAAAUACUGAAAGUGAAGUGAUCAAGUGUAGAGCCAUGGCGAUUCCUAAUAUACGGAUCCCUUGUCGGCAGUUGUUCAUCGACGGUGAAUGGAGAGAACCCCUCAAGAAGAACCGAUUACCCAUCAUCAAUCCGGCCAAUGAAGAAAUUAUCGGGUAUAUUCCCGCAGCUACAGAGGAGGAUGUAGAUAUGGCCGUCAAAGCUGCACGGAGUGCGCUUCGUCGAGAUGACUGGGGUUCUACUACUGGAGCACAGCGUGCCAAAUAUCUUCGUGCUAUUGCUGCUAAGGUACUGGAGAAAAAGCCUGAACUGGCUACACUUGAGACUAUCGAUAAUGGAAAACCCUGGUUCGAGGCUGCCUCGGAUAUAGAUGAUGUCGUAGCGUGUUUUGAGUACUAUGCAGAUCUAGCUGAAGCUUUGGAUUCAAAAAAAGCAGACUGAAGUUAAACUUCAUUUGGAUUCAUUCAAGACCCAUGUUUUAAGAGAACCUCUUGGUGUUGUGGGGUUGAUUACUCCAUGGAAUUAUCCUCUUUUGAUGACCACAUGGAAAGUCGCUCCUGCCCUAGCAGCUGGUUGUGCAGCAAUACUCAAGCCAUCAGAACUAGCAUCUAUUACCUCUUUGGAGUUGGGUGAAAUCUGUAGAGAGGUGGGUCUUCCUCCUGGUGCCCUUAGCAUACUAACGGGAUUAGGACAUGAAGCUGGUUCUCCUUUGGUAUCACAUCCUGAUGUUGAUAAGAUUGCAUUUACAGGAAGUGGCCCAACAGGGGUCAAGAUCAUGACCGCUGCAGCUCAACUUGUUAAACCAGUUACUCUUGAGCUUGGUGGAAAAAGUCCAAUAGUUGUGUUUGAUGACAUUCAUAACCUUGAUACAGCUGUGGAGUGGACUCUUUUUGGCUGCUUUUGGACAAAUGGUCAAAUUUGCAGUGCAACUUCACGUCUUAUAAUACAGGAAACAAUUGCUCCACAAUUUUUGGCCAGGCUUCUUGAGUGGACAAAAAACAUCAAAAUCUCAGAUCCCUUGGAAGAAGACUGCAAGCUUGGUCCUGUCAUUAGUCGUGGACAGUAUGAGAAGAUCUGGAAGUUCAUCUCUACAGCCAAAGAUGAAGGUGCAACCAUUCUUUAUGGUGGUGACCGACCUGAGCACUUAAAGAAAGGAUAUUACAUUCAACCAACAAUCAUAACUGAUGUUGAUACGUCCAUGGAGAUCUGGAAAGAGGAGGUAUUUGGACCUGUUCUUUGUGUCAAAACAUUUAAAACUGAAGAGGAAGCCAUUGAACUAGCAAAUGAUACCAAGUUUGGUUUGGGUGCUGCUAUUUUGUCAAAAGAUCUUGAAAGAUGUGAACGUUUCACAAAGGCUUUUCAGUCGGGGAUUGUCUGGAUCAACUGCUCGCAGCCAUGCUUUUGGCAACCACCAUGGGGGGGUAAGAAGCGUAGUGGUUUUGGACGUGAGCUUGGGGAAUGGAGUCUCGAGAACUACCUAAACAUUAAACAGGUGACUCAGUAUGUGACUCCGGACGAACCAUGGGCUUUUUACAAGUCUCCUUCAAAGCUGUGAAACUUUCAAGUGGUCAAGGAUUAUGUGAAUGAUGAAGAAGCAGAGAUGAAACUUGGAUCUGAUGUAGAACUGGCCUCGGUUGUUAUUAUCAAGUCUAAUAAUCUGUUUGAAGGGACAAAAUGUGGACUACAUUUUUUUUUCUACUGAUAUUGCGGUCUUCUGUUUAUUUCAUCUUUAUGAGCAAAGUGUCAAUCUUGGAUUCAUCAUAUUCACUAA
rnacentral:misc_RNA from 1 species